rnacentral:rRNA from 1 species
AUUGAACGCUGGCGGAAUGCUUUACACAUGCAAGUCGAGCGGCAGCGCGGGGCAACCUGGCGGCGAGCGGCGAACGGGUGAGUAAUGCAUCGGAACAUGUCCAUGUCGUGGGGGAUAGCCCGGCGAAAGCCGGAUUAAUACCGCAUAUGCCCGAGAGGGGAAAGCCGGGGACCGCAAGGCCUGGCGCGAUUGGGUUGGCCGAUGUCCGAUUAGCUAGUUGGCGGGGUAAGAGCCCCCCAAGGCGAUGAUCGGUAGCUGGUCUGAGAGGAUGAUCAGCCACACUGGGACUGAGACACGGCCCAGACCUCCUACGGGAGGCAGCAGUGGGGAAUUUUGGACAAUGGGGGAAACCCUGAUCCAGCCAUUCCGCGUGAGUGAAGAAGGCCUUCGGGUUGUAAAGCUCUUU